CUCCAUGUUCAGAUAUGGCUCUGCGGGAGCUUUGGGGUGUAUUGGGGGGUCAGGACUAGGGGAUGGGGAUGUUGGGGGGCUCCAUGUUCAGACAUGGCUCUGCGGGAGCUUUGGGGGCUGGAGCUGGGGAAAGUGGGGGACAGUCUGAAGUUGGCUGCUUGGGAUGUGGGUGAGGCCCCGGGGAGCAGGGGUUUGGGCUGCAGCCCUGUCACUGCAGCCUGGGGCCCUGUGUUUUCUCUGGAAAAGCUUCUCCCUGUUUCACCAUCUCCUCUCAGUCUGAGUCCCAGGGACCCUGCACAGGCGUCUGCAGGGCAGGAGGGGCCCUGAAAUCUGGCAGCUGGGAGGUUUGCAGCAGUUUCUAACCCUCCCUCCCCUGCUUCUUCCAGGAGGUACCACAAAAGUAUCUGGCCCCUCUGGGAAAAGAGGGAGAAGCAGCUAAAGCCGAGGAGGAGCGACAAAGUCAGGAGCUGCUGAAACAGACGGCAGCCGAGAGGCAGAAGAUCGUCGGGGAGUGGCAGGAGCUGCGAGGGUGUCUGGAGGAGCAGGAACAGCGUCUGCUGGCCCGGCUGGAAGAG